UGCUUUAUUGGUCUAUGUUGAUGAUAUUCUCAUCAUAGGAAGUGAUGGUCAAGGAAUUGCUGAUCUCAAAUUAUUACUUCACUCCUCAUUUGAUAUGAAGGAUAUGGGACAGUUAACAUAUUUUUUGGGUCUUGAAAUUUCUCGUAAUACUCAAGGUUAUCUCUUGAGUCAACAGAAGUAUACCUGUGAUUUGAUCAAGCUUGCAAACCUUACAGAUAACAAGACCCAUGAGACUCCUCUGGAAUUGAAUGUCAAGUAUGGGAAAGAUGAUGGCGACCUUCUCUUUGAUGUUACAUUUUAUAGGCAGCUAGUGGGAAGACUAGUCUAUCUCACUAUGUCUCGUCCCGAUUUCUCAUAUGCAGUUCAUGUUGUUAGCCAGUUUGUUGAGGCUCCUUGCACAUUGCAUAUGACGGUAGUUCAUCGCAUUAUUCGUUACCUUAGAGAUUGGGCAGGAUGUCUCAUUUCAUGACGGUCCACCACGGGUUAUUGUGUUUUCUUAGGACAAUCAUUGGUUAGCUGGAAGUGUAAAAAGCAAACCACGGUAUCUAGAUCCAGCACAGAAGCAGAAUACCGUGUAAUGGCAGAUGCAUGUGGUGAAAUUACUUGGUUCCGGGGAUUGUUGACAGAACUUGGGAUCCUUUUGUCUAUGGUGACUCCAUUAUAUGCUGACAAUCUUAGUGCGAUUCCGUUGGCUUCGAAUCCAAUAUUUCACGAGCGCAGUAAACACAUUGAAGUUGACUGCCACUUUGUGAGAGAAAAAUACAUAGCUGGAAUCAUUUCUCUUCAUCAUGUGACUUCAGAGUUGCAACUUGCUGAUUUUUUUACCAAAACUAUGACAUCUUCUCGUCAUAGGUUUCUUCGUGGCAAACUGAUGUUGGUUCAUUAUCCCACAUCAGUUUGAGGGGGGAUGUGAAUAGAAUAUUGUAUAUAUGGGUUGUUAGGUGUAAAAUACCAUGUAUAGAGAAGCUCUUAAAUAACCUUCCUUGUAUAGCCUUGUAAUGUGGUUAUUUAAACCCACCUUUGGGUUGAAGAAAUAUAGAAAACA